GCGUUGUCCGGAAUCAUUGGGCGUAAAGGGCGCGUAGGUGGCCCGGUCAGUCCGUGGUGAAAGCGCGGGGCUCAACCCUGCGUCGGCCAGGGAUACUGCUGGGCUGGAGCACUGUAGAGGCAGGCGGAAUUCCGGGUGUAGCGGUGGAAUGCGUAGAGAUCCGGAAGAACACCGGUGGCGAAGGCGGCCUGCUGGGCAGUGGCUGACACUGAGGCGCGACAGCGUG
rnacentral:rRNA from 1 species